rnacentral:rRNA from 1 species
UACAGAGGCCACAAGCGUUAGUCGGAAUCACUGGGCUUAAAGGGUGCGUAGGCGGCUCGUCAAGUGUUCUGUGAAAGCCCUCGGCUCAACCGAGGAACCGCAGGGCAAACUGACGGGCUUGAGGCAUGUAGGGGCGGGCAGAACUGUAGGUGGAGCGGUGAAAUGCGUAGAUAUCUACAGGAAUGCCGAUGGUGAAGACGGCCCGCUGGGCAUGUCCUGACGCUGAGGCACGAAAGCGUGGGGAGCAAACAGGAUUAGAUACCCUGGUAGUCCACGCCGUAAACGAUGCGCACUAGACCGGUGCGGUUUUGACGCCGUAUCGGUCGUAGUAAAAACGAUAAGUGCGCCGCCUGGGGAGUACGGUCGCAAGGCUAAA